ensembl:lncRNA
GGCUUAUAGAUGAGGGGAUACAGAUAGAUGAGUAUAACGGAUUCAGUCUGUGGUCUUAUACAUGAGGGGAUACAGAUAGAUGGAGUAUAAAGGAUUCAGUCUGUGGUCUUAUACAUGAGGGGAUACAGAUAGAUGGAGUAUAAAGUAUUCAGUCUGUGGGCUUAUAGAUGAGGGGAUACAGAUAGAUGGAGUAUAAAGUAUUCAAUCUGUGGGCUUAUAGAUGAGGGGAUACAGAUAGAUGGAGUAUAAAGUAUUCAGUCCGUGGGCUUAUAGAUGAGGGGAUACAGAUAGAUGGAGUGUAAAGUAUUCAGUCUGUGGGCUCAUAGAUGAGGGGAUACAGAUAGAUGGAGUAUAACAUUUUCAUAUUGUGGGCUUAUAGAUGAGGGGAUACAGAUGGAGUAUGAAGUAUUCAGUCUGUGGGCUUAAAGAUGAGGGGAUACAGAUGGAGUAUGAAGUAUUCAGUCUGUGGGCUUAUAGAUGAAGGGACACCAAUAGAUGGAGUAUAAAGUAUUCAGUCUGUGGGCUUAUAGAUGAGGGGAUACAGAUUGAUGGAGUAUAAAGUAUUCAGUCUGUGGGCUUAUAGAUGACGGGA